rnacentral:rRNA from 1 species
CAGUCGCCGCGGGAAUACGAAGGGUGCAAACGUUAAUCGGAAUUACUGGGCGUAAAGCGUGCGUAGGCGGUGAGUUAAGUCUGCUGUGAAAUCCCCGGGCUCAACCUGGGAAUGGCAGUGGAUACUGGCUCGCUAGAGUGUGUCAGAGGAUGGUGGAAUUCCCGGUGUAGCGGUGAAAUGCGUAGAGAUCGGGAGGAACAUCAGUGGCGAAGGCGGCCAUCUGGGACAACACUGACGCUGAGGCACGAAAGCGUGGGGAGCAAACAGGAUUAGAUACCCGAGUAGUCCCUGUCUCUUAUAC